CACAGAAGUAUGCCUUGUGCCCAGGGUUGUCUGGAUUCCUUUCGCCUCCUCAAAUAUGACAUCGCCUCUGCAGAUGCAUUUACAGAUCAUAGAGGUUCCCUAUUGAAACAGAGACAUAAUGUAGCUCCUGGCAUGUUUUUGGAAUGAUCAAGCACCAAUGAAAAGAUAAACAGCAGAUUUAAACCAAAAGGAAAUUCUUCUUCUCACAGCACAUCAUUAAACUGUGGAGCUAUUUGCCACAGGAUGUUGUGGAGGCCAAAAGUAUAAGUGUGU